rnacentral:rRNA from 1 species
UGGGGAAUUUUGGACAAUGGGCGAAAGCCUGAUCCAGCAAUGCCGCGUGUGUGAAGAAGGCCUUCGGGUUGUAAAGCACUUUUGUCCGGAAAGAAAUCCUUGGCUCUAAUACAGUCGGGGGAUGACGGUACCGGAAGAAUAAGCACCGGCUAACUACGUGCCAGCAGCCGCGGUAAUACGUAGGGUGCAAGCGUUAAUCGGAAUUACUGGGCGUAAAGCGUGCGCAGGCGGUUUGCUAAGACCGAUGUGAAAUCCCCGGGCUCAACCUGGGAACUGCAUUGGUGACUGGCAGGCUAGAGUAUGGCAGAGGGGGGUAGAAUUCCACGUGUAGCAGUGAAAUGCGUAGAGAUGUGGAGGAAUACCGAUGGCGAAGGCAGCCCCCUGGGGCCAAAUACUGACGCUCAUGCACGAAAGCGUGGGGAGCAAACAGGAUUAGAUACCCUGGUAGUCCACGCCCUAAACGAUGUCAACUAGUUGUUGGGGAUUCAUUUCCUUAGUAACGUAGCUAACGCGUGAAGUUGACCGCCUGGGGGAGUACGGUCGCAAGAUUAAAACUCAAAGGAAUUGACGGGGUCAUAGCUGUUUCCU